GCAUCGGCCCUGUGAAUGUGCAUUGAUCGGGCAGGUUCAUCUGCGUUCGGCUAACCAUUAAAUAAUAAAUAUAAAGAAAGAAAGUGGGUGAUUGUAAUCUCAUCUCAUCAUGGCAUGUUUCUAGAACUCUCUUCGUCAAAAACAUCUCCUGCCUGCUGAACUACCAUAGUUCUCAGAUGGUGAAAGCUAAACACAGAGACAUUAACACUGCGUAUCGUCAAAGAUUGCAUCAUCGCUCGAGCUCCGCGCGUGCCUCACGCCACUGUGCUAACAGCUCCCUCUAGCGUCAGCAUCCCCAACAAGUGAUAACCUGCAGAAAACGUGAGAUCGAUAUUUGCUUCUACAUUGGAAGCAUGUUGCGCCAUGUCAACAUGGAGCAUUUGUCAGACGCACCGUCUGUAGACAGGUGCGCGGGACGCAUGCGCAGAUACAGCGCGUGAGGCGAAUUGAACGUCUGUGAUUGGCCAGUUACCUCGGAUGAUUGUAACAAUAUGCGAUAUUCCUCUGAGAUUCCCGAGUGCUCUGAAAUGACGAUGCAUGUAGGAAGACAAUGUGCUAUAUAGGUGAUUCCGAUUACUCUAUGAUAAAAACAUCAUAAUAUGCAACUCUAGCGCUCGUUGACUGUGUAUGAUAGCACAGAACAUGUCUUGUUACAGGUACGCUCCAGUGGAUUGAUUUAACGAAUGCUAAUCCUUCAUGUUAUUAUAUUUAAUGAAGCAUUUAUCCAUACAACGUGUGCUUUGUUCGUGUCACGUGACAUGCCGGUGUUACUACCAAUACCUAUACCGGCAAAAUAAAACGAAUCAUAGCGCAA